rnacentral:lncRNA from 1 species
AGGACUUGCCGCGUGGCAAGACCACGUCGACCCGGGGACGGGCCACGUUGGCGAUCUGCGUGCGCGCGAUCGGACGGCCCAGAUGCGUCCCCGCGCGCACGAACGGCCCAGAUCAAGCGUGCGCACGGACGGCCCAGAUUCAAUCAAAAACGGACGGCUCAGAUUUAAUCAAAAUGGACGGCUGAGAUCAAAAGGCAAAAGGGUAUAAAUAGAACCCCCACACCUGACCACAAAAACCCUAGCGGCCUGCCCUCACCGGAGAAGACGAACCAGACGCCGAAGGAGCCGGCCGCCGCCACCCACCGCCGCACCAGGGAGAUUUCCGACCGCCGAUCGAGGUAAAUUUCAUACCCCCGACUCGUUUUUCCACGCUGAGUUCCCCUGUGGCCAAAUCGGAGCCAAAAUCCUGGCCAAAUCGGAGCCAAAAUCCCGGCCGAAAUCCAGCGGCGCCGCCGCGCCCCUCCUCGGUUUUUGCCUCCGAUGAGGCCCUUCCCGGCCUCCGUUUGAUGUAAUUUUUAUAUCACCGUGAUCACCAUUCUUUUCUCUACAGGUUGAUCGGAGCCGAAUCACCAAAACACGAACCUCGCCGGAGAGCCGCUGCACCCGAGAGCACCACCGCCGGUAAGCUUCAGUUUUCCGUAAUUUUUUGGCCCCCCAAGGGCCCUAGGGUUGUUUUAUCGCAGG